rnacentral:rRNA from 1 species
UAAAAGGCCGCGGUAUUGUGACCGUGCAAAGGUAGCAUAAUCAUUAGUUUUUUAAUUGAAGGCUAGAAUGAAUGGUUGGACAAGAAAUAAUCUGUCUUAAUUGAAAAUAUUGAAUUUAACUUUUAAGUGAAAAGGCUUAAAUAAUUUGGGGGGACGAUAAGACCCUAUAAAACUUUAUAUUUAGGGGUAAUAGUUAAUUUUGUUUUAUUUUAUUAUUUAAAAGUAUUUGGUUGGGGCGACGGGGAUAUAAUAUGUAAUAACUGUUCUUAUUUAUAACAAUGCUAUUUGGUUUUAUGAUCCUGAUAAUGGAUUAAAGAUUAAGUUACUUUAGGGAUAACAGCGUAAUUUUUUUUAAGAGUUCUUAUCGACAAAAAAGUUUGCGACCUCGAUGUUGAAUUAAAAGUUCUUUAUAAAGUAGAGAUUAUAAAAGAAGGUCUGUUCGACCUUUAAAA